rnacentral:rRNA from 1 species
UACAGAGGCCUCAAGCGUUAUGCGGAAUCAUUGGGCUUAAAGCGUGUGUAGGCGGCUCGUUAAGUGUCUUGUGAAAUCCCACGGCUCACCCGUGGAACUGCUGGGCAUACUGGCGAUCUUGGGCCAACUAGGGGCAACUGGAACAAGCGGUGGAGCGGUGAAAUGCGUAGAUAUCGCUUGGAACGCCAAAGGUGAAAACAGGUUGCUGGGGUUGUGCCGACGCUGAGACACGAAAGCCAGGGGAGCAAACGGG